rnacentral:misc_RNA from 1 species
UCAUAUAAAUUAGCAGCCUUUCACACCUCUCAAAUCACAGAAAAUCAAAAGGUCAAUUUUUUUCUCUCAAACUUUGUAUAUCACCAAUUUUUUUCUCUUGAAAAACCUCACAAGCUUCUUCUCAAUUCAACCUCAUCAUGUCUCAGACUGUCGUUCUCAAGGUUGGCAUGUCAUGCGAAGGCUGUGUUGGUGCUGUGAAAAGGGUUUUGGGGAAAAUGGAAGGUGUAGAAACUUUCGACAUUGAUCUGAAGGAGCAAAAGGUGACUGUGAAGGGCAAUGUUCAACCAGAUGCUGUUCUCAAGACUGUGUCAAAGACUGGAAAGCCAACAUCUUUCUGGGAAGCAGGCGAAUCGGCUCAAACAGAAGCUGUUAGUACAGCUUGAUGGUGUAUAAUGACUUGGAAUUGUAUGUUAAGGCUUGAGCAAUAUAUGACUUUAUCAAGAAUUCUCCUAUGUAAUAGUUUGAAAUCAGAAUUGCAAUAAGUUGUUUGAGAG